rnacentral:rRNA from 1 species
AUAUGCAGCCACAUCGGCUGAAUGCACCUGAUCUUGGAUGCUAAGCAGCCUUGGACUUGCUAGCACUUGGAUGGGACACCACUUUGCAAACCCAGGCACUGUAGAUC